GAUGAAGAACGUAGCGAAAUGCGAUAAGUAAUGUGAAUUGCAGAAUUCAGUGAAUCAUCGAAUCUUUGAACGCACAUUGCGCCCGCCAGUAUUCUGGCGGGCAUGCCUGUUCGAGCGUCAUUACAACCCUCAGGCCCCCGGGCCUGGCGUUGGGGAUCGGCGGAAGCCCCCUGCGGGCACAACGCCGUCCCCCAAAUACAGUGGCGGUCCCGCCGCAGCUUCCAUUGCGUAGUAGCUAACACCUCGCAACUGGAGAGCGGCGCGGCCACGCCGUAAAACACCCAACUUCUGAAUGUUGACCUCGAAUCAGGUAGGAAUACCCGCUGAACUUAAGAAUAUCAAUAAGCGGAGGA
rnacentral:misc_RNA from 1 species